rnacentral:rRNA from 1 species
UACGUAGGGACCAAGCGUUGUCCGGAAUCAUUGGGCGUAAAGAGCGUGUAGGCGGCUUGUUAAGUCUUGCGUGAAAUCUCCGGGCUUAACCCGGAAGGUCAGCCGAUACUGCGGGCUAGAGUGCAGAAGGGCCAACUGGAAUUCUCGGAUGUAGCGGUGAAUGCGUAGAUAUCGGAGAGGAACACCUGCGGCGAAGGCGGGUUGCUGGGCUGACACCGAUGCGUGAGGCGCGAAAGCUAGGGAGCGAACGGG